GCGGGUGAGUAAUGUCUGGGAAACUGCCUGAUGGAGGGGGAUAACUACUGGAAACGGUAGCUAAUACCGCAUAACGUCUUCGGACCAAAGUGGGGGACCUUCGGGCCUCUUGCCAUCAGAUGUGCCCAGAUGGGAUUAGCUAGUAGGUGGGGUAACGGCUCACCUAGGCGACGAUACAUAGCCGACCUGAGAGGGUGAUCGGCCACACUGGGACUGAGACACGGCCCAGACUCCUACGGGAGGCAGCA
rnacentral:rRNA from 1 species